rnacentral:rRNA from 1 species
UACGUAGGGGGCAAGCGUUGUCCGGAUUCAUUGGGCGUAAAGAGCGUGUAGGCGGCCAGGUAGGUCGGUUGUGAAAACUGGAGGCUCAACCUUCAGAGGUCGACCGAAACCAUCUGGCUAGAGUCCGGGAGAGGAGAGUGGAAUUCCUGGUGUAGCGGUGAAAUGCGCAGAUAUCAGGAAGAACACCCGUGGCGAAAGCGGCUCUCUGGAACGGUACUGACGCUGAGACGGCGAAAGCGUGGGGAGCGAAACAGG